rnacentral:rRNA from 1 species
ACGGGGCGCAGCAGGCGCGAAAACUUUACAAUGCGGGAAACCGUGAUAAGGGAAUCUCGAGUGCCAGCAUAUAAUGUUGGCUGUCCAGAUGCCUAAAAAGCAUCUGUUAGCAAGGGCCGGGCAAGACCGGUGCCAGCCGCCGCGGUAACACCGGCGGCCCGAGUGGUAACCGCUAUUAUUGGGUCUAAAGGGUCUGUAGCCGGCCAGGUAAGUCCCUUGGGAAAUCUGGCAGCUCAACUGUCAGGCUGCUAGGGGAUACUGUUUGGCUUGGGACCGGGAGAGGUGAGAGGUACCUUGGGGG